rnacentral:rRNA from 1 species
CCUACGGGUGGCAGCAGUCGAGAAUCAUUCACAAUGGGGGCAACCCUGAUGGUGCGACUCCGCGUGGGGGAAUGCAGGUCUCGGGUUUGAAACCCCUUGUCAUGUGGGAGAAAAUUCAAAUGAUAGUACCACAAGAGGAUGAGGCGGCUAACUCUGUGCCAGCAGCCGCGGUAAUACCGAGGACGCAAGCGUUGUUCGGAAUUACUGGGCGUAAAGCGUGUGUAGGCUGUUUCGUAAGUCGCAUGUGAAAGGCGCGGGCUCAAGCCGCGGACGGCACAUGAGACUGCGAGACUAGAGUAAGGGAGAGGGAACCGGAAUUCUCGGUGUAGCAGUGAAAUGCGUAGAUAUCGGGAGGAACACUCGUGGCGAAGGCGGGUUCCUGGACAGUAACUGACGCUGAGGCACGAAGGCCAGGGGAGCGAAAGGGAUUAGAUACCCGUGUAGUC